UACGUAGGGUGCAAGCGUUGUCCGGAAUUAUUGGGCGUAAAGAGCUCGUAGGCGGUCUGUCGCGUCUGCUGUGAAAACUCAGGGCUUAACCCUGAGCUUGCAGUGGGUACGGGCAGACUAGAGUGCGGUAGGGGAGACUGGAAUUCCUGGUGUAGCGGUGAAAUGCGCAGAUAUCAGGAGGAACACCGGUGGCGAAGGCGGGUCUCUGGGCCGUAACUGGACGCUGGAGGAGCGAAAGCAUGGGGAGCGAACGGG
rnacentral:rRNA from 1 species